AACCACAGAGUAGUGUGCUUGCAGUGAGUCACAAUGGACAAAGCUUUGGCUUUCAAAGAUCGAAUUCUGAACAAGGAAAACCUGAAUCCCAAAACCUGGAUAAAAGCAGAGAAUAUUAAAGGUUUUAAAGACUUUAUACUGCAGAAAGAAUCAGAAGAGACAGAUGGACAAAAUUUUGAUGAUGAAAAUAUGCUGCUGGAUUCCGAAAAGGCUUAUAUGGAAGCUGCAAAGAAGAAUGAUGUACACACAAUGAAGCUCCUUGGCAAGAGUGUCAAUGUCAAUGCAAAGAAUGUCCACGAUCGAACCGCACUACACUACGCUGUGGCUGGGAAAAACCAGGAAGCGGUGGAACUCUUGCUUCAGAGAAGAGCCAAGUUAGAUGUACAAGACAAGCAUGGAGUGACCGCAGCUCACUUGGCUGCCUGGUUUGGGAGUCUGGCUAUUCUUAAGCUGCUUAUACAGGCUGGGGCCGACCAGAAAACUGAGAACCAGGAAGGAAUGACCAUUAUGCAUUGUGCUGCCAUCAAUAAUCACACCGACAUUGUGACAUACAUUGUAAAUGACUUGCAGAUGAAAGAACUGGAUAAAGAGGACCAGUCAGGGAAGCGGGCUUUCUCCCGCGCAGCUGAGCAUGGCUGCGUGCCGAUGAUGGAGUUGCUGCUGGAGGAGCCGUUCAGUAUGGCCACCAUGCAGGAAGAUCAGAACGGCAACACCCCUUUGCACCUUGCAGCAAAAAAUGGACACCUGAAUGCUAUUCAGCUCCUACUUCAGAAUUUUGACAACCGCAAUGAGGUCAAUAAGGCAGGAGAGACAUCACUGUACCUGGCUGCAAACGGUGCUUAUGAGGACUGUGUCCAAGCACUGUUAGAAGCUGACUGUGACCCUAAUAUCGUUACUACCGCUAAGAAUGCCGCUUUGCAUCCCGUGGCAGAAAAGGGGUACACGUCCCUGGUCAAGCUCCUCACGGAUAAUGGUGCCGACAUGAAUUUGCAGAAUCAGCAUCUACAGGCUCCCUUUCACCUGGCAGUGAAGAACUGCCAUAUUCCUGUCAUCCACACACUCCUGAAGGCCGGCUGUGACACUGACGUCACCGACCAUAGGGGACAAACCGCACUUCAUAUUGCAGCAGAGCUGGGAAAGACUGAUGUUGUGGAGAUGAUUCUGAAAGCUGAUACAGACCUAUCUCUCCGGGACAAGCAAGAAAAGACGCCGCUGGGAGUGGCAGCCAGGGGCAACAUGGUCAUCAUUGUGGAUAUGAUCAUUAAAGCAGAAAGAUAUUUUGCGUGGAAAAAGGCAAAUGUGGAAUUUAAUGAAACCCUUCACAACGACUUUCCACUGACAUUCAAAUUAGACCACAGUGCAGAAACCAAGCAGAUCCGUGCUACCAUCUGGAAUUUGGGCUACCACCUGCUGAAACCAAAUGACUGGAAGAAACUUGCACAGCACUGGGAUUUCACUGGCCCACAGAUUGCAGCCAUAGAAGAGCAGUGGACAGGCCUGAAGAGCUACCAGGAACAUGGCAACCGGAUGAUGUUGAUUUGGCUACAUGGAGUCUGUAUGACAGGCAAGAAUGCAACCAAAGAGCUUCAUGAGAGUCUACUUUCUACAGGAUACACAAGUAUCGCAGACAAAAUAAGGGCAGACACAAAUGGGAAGGAGACGAGAAAAUGUUCGGUCUCAUAACAUCAACAACAUAUGACAGCAUAGACCACCUGACGCCAACACCAGUCAUAUGGGAUUUUCUGGAUUUGCUUCAAUAGCAGCAUUUGUUUUUCAGGGAAAAUAUCUGAUCAUUAAAAUAUGCAAAACACUACCAAAAAGCCCUGUUUAGGGCAUUUGUUUAUAAUCAGCUUUGAGAUUAAUUAUUACAAUCAGCAAAUUGGACAAAAGUCCAACUGACCUCUGAGCAACUGGCUGAGAACCUGGAUUUAAUACGUCAGUUGGCAGAAGUGGACACUGACCCCCCUUCAUUGGUGCACCCCUAACCCACCAUUCAAUUCUAUGUUUGUCAUUGUAAGCACAAUAUUAAGAAGAUACUUUUGUACUAGUGAUGUAGUAAGUUACUACCUCAGUAUUUUCUAUGUUUCACUCCUUAGCCUUAUCUCUGACGCAGUGUGAGAAAAAAUGUUGUUGUGAAAUGGCCAACAGGAAUGAAAUUAAGUACCAAGAGAAGACCAAACAGCUCUUCUAGUUUAAACUAUAUUUCUGAAUCAUUAUAAAGUAUGGUUAUAUACAUUUUUUAUGAUUUGCCUCACACAACUAUAUCUGUAAGCAUAGUGGUGGCAAUGUCAUUGAUAAUCAUGCAGCAGACAUGUCUGAUGUAGAAUAUAGUAUGUAAUAGAGUAAAAUCCCGUUACAGUGGACUCAUUUAUAACGGAAUAUCGUCUAUAACGGACGAGGUCCGAUGAUCCCAGCCGUGCGCUUUUAAGAACAUGCAGAAAAAGCAUGUUACUGUAUAUAGCGGACUCGCGUAUAACGGAAUUUCGCUUAUAACGGACAAACAAUUUGGUCCCCUGGGCUGCUUUUAGCUGUAGUUUUGUUCGCUAUAAUGGACUUGCAGGCUCCGCCUACAAGGCGCGUGGCAUGCCGGUGAUAUCCAGCUGUAGUUUUGUUCGCUAUAACGGACAUGCAGGAAAAGAUGUCUGAAAAUGCUGGUUUUAUUGUUUCACAGUAUAUGGGGAAAAAGAAAAUAGUGGUUAACUACACACAUACAUGAAGUGAUUUUAUUAUCUUUAUAUUUAAGAUCUGAUGUAAAUGCAGGCAUUUUUGUUGUUGAUUAAAAAAGUUGUGCUAGUUGCUUUUAUUCCAGCGUUUUUGAUUCUUUGCCACAGUAUAUUCACUAAGGAAAAUAUCAACCCAUUUUAUUUUAAUAU